UGGAAUUCCACUGCUUUUAUAUUUUCUAUGUAGGAAGAAGAAGAAAAAAUGAAGAAAUAAACUGUUUAUGCAAUUGCGUACCAGGGGGAGGAAAGAACACGAUGGGCUAAAGAAAAGAAGAAAGAAGAAAGGAAAUUGGAAACCUAAAUUGUAAAUUGUGACUGAGAAGAAGAUAGGGUGAAAGAAUGAAGAUGGUGAGUUACAACGUGAAUGGCCUGAGACAGCGCAUAUCGCAGUUCGGGUCGCUCCGGAAUCUGCUAAAUUCAUUCGACGCCGACAUCCUUUGUUUUCAGGAGACCAAACUUCGGAGACAGGAACUUACGGCGGACUUGAUCAUGGCGGACGGUUACGAAUCCUUCUUUUCCUGCACCCGCACCUCCCAGAAGGGCCGAACUGGCUAUUCCGGCGUUAUUACGUUUUGUCGUGUAAAAUCAGCAUUUUCUAGUAAUGAAGUGGCAUUGCCACUAGCAGCAGAGGAAGGCUUUACUGGACUUCUGGAAAACUCUCAAACUAGCAAAGAUGAAUUGCCGUUCAUGACAGAUGAUCUAAAGGAAUUUUCAAAAGAUGAGCUUAUAAGUCUUGAUAGUGAGGGGCGAUGCAUUAUCACGGAUCACACUCACUUUGUUCUUUUCAAUGUGUAUGGGCCUCGAGCUGCAAGUGAUGACACCGAGAGGAUUCAGUUUAAGCAAAAAUUUUACAGCGUAUUAAAGAAAAGAUGGGAGUCUCUCCUGCAUCAAGGAAGGAGAAUAUGUGUUGUUGGUGAUCUCAAUAUUGCCCCAUUUGCAAUUGAUCGAUGUGAUGCAGGAGCUGAUUUUGAAAAUAAUGAAUUUAGAAAAUGGUUCAAAUCAAUGUUAAUUGAAAACGGCGGUCAAUUUUGUGAUGCCUUCAGAGCUAAACAUCCUGACAGAAGGGAAGCAUACACCUGUUGGUCGCAAAGUACAGGUGCUGAAGUAUUCAACUUUGGGAGUAGAAUUGACCAUAUACUGUUUUCUGGUUCAUGCCUACAUGAAUCAGAUGACCUGCAAUGGCAUAGUUUUGUAAGAUGUCAUGUCAAGGAAUGUGACAUUCUGACACAGUACAAACGGUGUAAGCCUGAAAGCACUCCGAGUGCCCAUAGGUGGAAGGAAGGGCGCAGCAUUAAACUGGAAGGAUCUGAUCAUGCUCCAGUUUUUGUGUCUUUACAUGAAAUUUCUGAGGUCUCUCUGCACAGUACUCCUUCCUUAUCUGCUAGAUAUGUUCCCAUGGUUCACGGCAUACAACAAACUCUGGUGUCAGUGUUGAUGAAAAGGAAAGUUUCUGAACAAAUUAAAUCAUGCAAGAUGGCACAUGAAGACAUUGCAAUCCAUAGUACUUAUGAGGGAGAAGAACCAGUUAACAGAGCUGCUUCAUCUGCAACCAGUCCAAAUGAAUGUCGAAUUCUUCCAAGACAAGUUUAUAAAGGUAGCAUUUUGAAACCAAAUGAAGUUUCCGGAGGCUCUUCUCAGGAGGCUGUUUCUAAAUCAGUGAAUGAAAGUGAAAAAUCAAUAAUGCACAAGUGUAAAAAACCCAACAAAAAAGCUAGAAAUAGUCAAUCGUCCCAGCUCUCACUUCGGUCAUUUUUCCAGAGAAGUACAAAUCUUGACAAUGACAUCAAUGGCUCCUCGUAUACUGAUUGCUCAACUAGUCAGGAUGAACCUUCUCAACCCAACCCUCAGUUACAUGAAACUCCUACAGUGUCUGAUCACAGUAUCAGUCCCAAGCAAUGUUCGUUGGAUACUGAUGCACGUGAUCAGGAUUUAGCUGGGCCAAAGGAUAGUUCCAUAAAGGAAGAAAAGAGUAAUCUGGCUUCAUUAGAGUGGCAACGAAUACAACAGUUGAUGCAGAAUAGCAUACCUAUUUGCAAGGGCCAUAAGGAACCUUGUAUAGCUCGGGUGGUGAAAAAACAAGGACCAAAUUUUGGCCGCAGAUUCUAUGUUUGUGCUCGCGCUGAGGGCCCUGCGUCUAAUCCUGAGGCAAACUGCGGUUACUUUGGAUGGGCUUCUUCAAAGUCUAGGAAUAAAUAAUGGAAGAGAAUGGAUGAUUCAUAAAUCCGCCUUCAUCCAACUUUCUUUCAUAACGACUAUGUGGAGCUGAAAUACCAGUUUUGCAUGAUUAUGAUCAUUUCUAAGUUCCUUCAAGGAUGUCCACCCUCAAGACAAGUAUUCUUGUAGGGUUCUCUUUUGUUCUGUAAAAUCAGCUGUUGCAACCAUAUAUGUAAAAGAGAUGAUUUUGACCAAUACAAAGAAAUCGAUACGCAGAGUAUAAUUUUUUUUUAAUCUUUGUUCUAUUUUUAAAUAAAGACAAGACAAGAUCAAUUUGAUACAAUUAUUUGCAUAAUAAUUAUUUCAUGAAAUUAUUAUAAGAUAAUCAUUUCAAUAUUUCCAAUAAUUAUUGAAAUUUAUAAUUUCAAUAAUCCAAGGAGAGAGCUACUGUAUCAAAGCAAUGUAAAAGCAUCAUAAAUACUUGGGUCUUCCAACAACUAUUGCAUUGGAAGAUCUAAAUCCCAAGUCUUUGAAUUUGUUAAAGGAAGAUUGUGGGGUUUGGAUAUGAGCUUCAAAAUUUAUUCCUGCAUGUUUGAGCCUGGUGUUGCAGAAGCGUUAACUUAUAGGUGGGGUUUGGAUUUGGCAGAAAACUAUGUUUGAUAAACACUGAAACUGAUUCUCAAGUUUUGUCCAUGGAAGAGGAAACCAACUUCGCCAGGAGCUUAUUCAGCAAACACCAUGACUGCAGAAUCACUGCUACAGAAAUCCAUAGCCAUGUGCACUCUUCUGUUGGCUCGUUGGACGGUAAUUGUUGAAGUGUUGUAAAGAUUGUCUUUAAUUUGGACGGAAAAAUUUAUAUAUUUGAUC